rnacentral:rRNA from 1 species
GGGCUCCUUCGGGAGCACCGGCGGACUGCUCAGUAACACGUGGACAACCUACCCUCGGGUGGGGGAUAACCUCGGGAAACUGAGGCUAAUACCCCAUAGGCCUCGGAUACUGGAAGGUUCCGAGACCGAAAGCUCCGGCGCCCGAGGAUGGGUCUGCGGCCUAUCAGGUAGUUGGUGGUGUAAAGGACCACCAAGCCUACGACGGGUACGGGCCCUGAGAGGGGGAGCCCGGAGAUGGGCUCUGAGACACGAGUCCAGGCCCUACGGGGCGCAGCAGGCGCGAAACCUUCGCAAUGCGCGAAAGCGCGACGAGGGGAGCCCGAGUGCCCUUCCUUUCGGGAGGGCUUUUCUGGAGCCUAAAAAGCUCCAGGAAUAAGGGCUGGGCAAGACGGGUGCCAGCCGCCGCGGU